GUAGGGAGAGGCCGUGACCACCCCCCAAGGAGAGAGAAAGGUGGUUGCCGCAACCACCAACCAAGGAGUGAAAGGGGGAGCGGCCGUGCCCACUCCCCGGAGAGAGAGUAGGGGAGAGGCCGUGACCACCCCCAAGGAGAGAGAAAGGUGGCUGCCGCAACCACCAACCAAGGA